GACGAACGCUGGCGGCGUGCUUAACACAUGCAAGUCGAGCGGGGUCCUUCCUUCGGGAGGGUGUCCUAGCGGCGAACGGGUGAGUAACACGUGGGCAACCUGCCCUCAGCUCUGGGAUAACUCCAAGAAAUUGGGGCUAAUACCGGAUAUGACCGCUGACCGCAUGGUCUGGUGGUGGAAAGAUUUAUCGGCUGGGGAUGGGCCCGCGGCCUAUCAGCUUGUUGGUGGGGUAAUGGCCACCAAGGCGACGACGGGUAGCCGGCCUGAGAGGGUGACCGGCCACACUGGGACUGAGACACGGCCCAGACUCCUACGGGAGGCAGCAGUGGGGAAUAUUGCGCAAUGGGCGGAAGCCUGACGCAGCGACGCCGCGUGGGGAGUGACGGCCUC
rnacentral:rRNA from 1 species